CAAUAGCGUAUAUUAAAGUUGUUGCAGUUAAAACGCUCGUAGUCGGAUUUCGGGGCGGGUGCGCCGGUCUGCCGAUGGGUAUGCACUGGCGGACGCGUCCUUCCUUCCGGAGACUGGCCCUACUCUUAGCUGAGCGGGGUCGGGAGUCGGAUCGUUUACUUUGAAAAAAUCAGAGUGUUUCAAGCAGGCGAUUAGCUCUUGCAUGGAUUAGCAUGGGAUAAUGAAAUAGGACUUUGGUGCUAUUUUGUUGGUUUCGAACACCAAAGUAAUGAUUAACAGGGACAGUCAGGGGCACUCGUAUUCCGCCGAGAGAGGUGAAAUUCUCAGACCAGCGGAAGACGAACCACUGCGAAAGCAUUUGCCAGGGAUGUUUUCACUG
rnacentral:rRNA from 1 species